CCUACGGGUGGCAGCAGUGAGGAAUAUUGGUCAAUGGUCGGGAGACUGACCCAGCCAAGCCGCGUGAAGGAUGAAGGUACAGAGUAUCGUACACCUCUUUUGGCAGGGAACGAAGGCGGGGACACGUCCCCGGAUGAGUGUACCUAAAGAAAAAGCAUCGGCUAACUCCGUACCAGCAGCCGCGGUAAUACGGAGGAUGAAAGGGUUUUCCCGCUUUGUUGGGUUUAAAAGGUGCGCAGGCUGUCUGUUAAGUCAGCGGUCAAAUGCCGGGGCUCAACCCCGGCCCGCCCUUUGAAACUGGCAGUCUCGAGUUGGAGAGAAGUAUGCGGAAUGCGCGGUGUAGCGGUGAAAUGUAUAGAUAUCGCGCAGAACUCCGAUGGCGAAGGCAGAAGGCCGGCUCCACACUGACGCUGAGGCACGAAAGCGUGGGGAUCGAACAGGAUUAGAUACCCGGGUAGUC
rnacentral:rRNA from 1 species